CACCUGGCUUCUAAUAUAUAAUUGUCGAUAUUUGACACAACAACAGAAUUAAGAGAUUUCAAUAUUUUGACUGCCCAAACAGGAAAAUUAUUAGAGUUUUGUAUGUUCAGUUAAAGCAGAUCUGGGGCCACGAUUCUCCUCGCACGCCCACACGACAUGAUCAAUAUCCUGAUAAUCCUCGCCGCAAACACAGAGAUUACUUUCCGAGAGUCCCACACUCUGAAAAGGUGUGCGUUCAAAGUGUAGUGAUUGGACAUUAGACGACACAUGGUUCGAAUGAAGUCUCGUCCUAUAUUCAAUUUUUUGAACCAUGGACUCUUCGACACCUGCGGGCGAAUAGAAUACAGUCAUCUACCCAACUCCCCAUUUGUCCAUUUCUGCUGCCAGCUGAUCAAGGUUUCCUGACGAACUAAUGAGAAAAAUUCAUCGAAGGUGAUUCGCCGAUCGUAAAUAUCACCUUCCAUAGCGCCCACCUUAGCCAAAGAGUCCGCUUUCUCAUUUCCCGGGAUCGAGCAAUGAGAAGGGACCCAAGCCAUGGUGAUUGUGAAUGACCGUUUCGAUAGAGCACUCAAAGCUUUCCUUAUCCCCUUUAGGAGAUACGCUAAGUGCUUCAUCGGUUUCAUUGACCGAACAGGCUCCAAUGAACUUAGACUGUCGGUGAAGAUGAAAAAGUGGUCAGGAGGUAGGGAUGCGAUUUGUUCGAGUGAAUAGUGUAUAGCUGCUAGCUCAGCAGUAUACACGGAAUUAGGCUCUUUGAGCUUAAAGUAGGCGCUAUGAAAAACGUUGAAAACACCGAAACCAGUGGAGUCAUCCAUUUUUGACCCGUCAGUGAAAAAGCUUCUCUCCUCGCUAGCAUGCCCGUAUUUGCUUGCAAAUAAUAGAGGUAUGACCUCCGCUUAGCAAAUUGUAGUUAUUCGGAAUAAUUCCUCAAAGUAAAAAUCCAAACAAGAAGGAAAAAGGAAUUUGUCCUCUAGCAAUCAUAGGCUGCCCGUAGUGCUGGCAGAUACAUUUAAUUUUUGCAUGCAGUUUGAACAAUCAUUCUUUGAAGCGUUAUAACAUUUAUUGCGCAUGUUCUGGCAACGUACCUUCUUCAGCAAAGUCUUUCAUCAUCUUUCAGACUAAAUGCAAACGUAGGGGAGACUGGGUAGACUUGAUCCCGUUUUCUGAUUUCCGAUGUAUCACAACCAAAAAUAAAUAAACAUAUGCAAUUUCCACACAAAUUCUCUAAGAAAUAUAGUAUUUAACUAUACUGAUGUAUGACAGUCCUUAAAUUAUUGUUGUUAUUGAUACACAAUCGAUUUUUUGGAGUGCUGUCAAAAAUCGACUUUUAAAAUAUUCGGGGGAAAUUGAUCCCUCUCCAAAAAUUUGCUUCGAUAAAAGUAGAAAGGUGGCCUCAGAUUUUUGAAAUAUUUUUCCUUCAAAAUACGCGGAAUUUUCGAAUUGCUGUGCGUAUACGUGAACGAUUUUUGUUAUUGAAUUUGACAGCACAUGCAAUUUUCAAAUUUGGGGAGACUUGAUCCUUUUUUUUAUGAUAUCUACGCAAUAAAUAAUUUUUCCUGACAACCCUUCAUAAAAUCUGUCGAAUCUACAAAAAAUUAGAAGCCUGAGAAUAGAUUUACAUUUUUUUAAAUUUUUUCGCCAAAUUUUUGUAUGAAUGACUAAUGGGGGAUCAAAUGUCCCCAUAUUGAGGCAAUAACUUCAAAUCCAAAUAUCCUAAAACUUUGAUGGAAUGUUUACAUUUUCAUCAGUACAGAUCAUUAAGCAUAUUUAUGGCUUUGUGCUGUGAAAAAACGAAAGCAUUUGGUCAUUGUUAUGAAAAGUUGUUCAAAUUUUGCUUGGCAAAUAAAAAAAUCUUUAGGAAGGUCAAAACAUACAAACCGCCCUGCAGAAUGAAUAAGGUUGUCAAUCCAAAAAGUAACUCACCACAUAAAGGUCAUUUGUCAAGAGGAUCUAUACUAAAAAAUACGCUAGAACAAAACUAAUUUAGUCCUCGAUAAAACAGGGGGUGAUCAAGUCUCCCCGGGGAUCAAGUCUACCCACCUUCCCCUAUUCGCGAAUACGAAAGUAAUGCCUCUACUCACUCUUAUGGCAAAAUCUCAUUGCUAUCUGUCAGACUGUGCGUGAAACAUGGCCGCCAAUCACCCAUUCUUGUUCCUCCACAGUAAAAUCCCAUAAGGAACUGUCAGACUGUGCGUGAAGCAUUUAUCUUCGUAGUCGCGAAUGGAGUGACGUGAUUGGCGAUAAAUUGAAGCCGAUAGGAGCAAAAAUACAAUAAAGUACAUUUUUCCAUAUUAAUCUUUAUAUAAUUUUCAAACGUGAUGCGGAAAGCGGCGAUGUAACCAAUAGAGCCCAUCUUUUGCAUAGUUGAUUGGGGUCCCAAAACGAGUCCGAAAAACCUUGAUCUCACUUGAUUGGAUGAAGUCUGCGUAUUUCCAUACAACUGCGCCCCACUCUAAUGUCUAUCAGCAAGGUGCUUAUUUUUUGUUAGCAUUGUUAUUAAGAAUAAAUUUCAGUCUGAAAUCUUGAAAUAUGGCACAUUCAAAACAUGUUUAGUAAAAGACAUCAACACCCAAUGUUUUAUCUCGUCAGCUUCAUCGUAAUUCCGAGAUACUUCUAGACAACUUUGAGAGUAGGUCGUAUGAGAAAAAGAGAGGUUUUUAUUGCUCACGCUCUCUUCAUCUUAUAGAUAGGCUAUAGCUUUGCAUUUUUACAUCAGCACACUAUAUAAAGAUAUUGUACAAAGGUACCGUUUAGACUCAAAUUCCGAACAAGACUCAUCAUAUUCCACACUCCACAUUAUUUCCAUAAGAUCUUGAAUUCGUUUGUAAUCUUGAUCGUCAGUAUGAAAAAUCGAAAAAAAAUAGUUUUAGGGCACUAAAACGCCAGUGUUUGGAAUAUGAGUCAUGUUCGUGAUGAUUUGAGUCAAAACGGUAUACUCGCUGAAGGUAUACUCCACACUAAGAAAUCCAAUGCAAUGCAACGGUGGUGAGAUGAAAUCAAGCGAUUUUCGGGUCGAAGGAAAUCAUUCUUCAUAGCUCGUGGUGAAAAACGUUUUUGCCUUUCUCGUACAACUAAGUUGAACCGAAAGGCUAUCAUUUCACUCCGAAAACGAACUUUUUAUAGAAGCCUCUGAGACCCAUAGUAUUAUAUACCAAUCAACUCAGCUCGACGAGCUGAGCACAUGUCUGUCUGUCCGUGUGUAUGUAUGUGUGUAUGUGUGUGUGUAUGUGUGUGCACAAAAGCUAUAAAAAACAUUAGACAACUUUUCGUAUAGUAAUCCUUAACCGAUUUUCUCGCAACAAGUUUCAUUCGACAGGGGACAAAGCCUUGUUGAUCACUAUUGAAUUUUAUAACGAUCGGUCAUUGCGUUUAAAAGUUAGGCAGAAAAUGGUACAUCAUAUAAGCCCCAUAUAAGGUUGGUGUCUUAACUAAAUGCGAGAAAAGCACCACCAACGCUAGGUGGAUUAAUCUGGGUUUUUACUCAACACUCUUUCUCUAGAGGAACCUGGACGAUAAACGAGAAUCGUAUACCUACUUGAUGAAGUUCUUUUUUCCUUUUUUUUCAUUUUUAAGCCUUACCCACUUUUCGCGAAAAUUUACGGUACGCAAUUAUAAAAAUGUCAUGACCGCAACGUGAUUCGAGCCUAAAUCUUCAACAAAAACGACGUUAGGACAUGGUCACUUUAGCCACACCACUAUUGCCGCAAAUAGUCAUGGCCCAAAACGUAUGAAAAAUCAUACUUCAGAAAUUAUUCAAAUUGAAUUUAAUGCAUUAAUGUUACAUAAAACUUCAGUCUGGAUUUAUAUUCUUAUAUUUGGUGUCAAAAACGUUAAAGUUGUUUAAAUAUCCACCAAAAUAUUGUUGAAUUUUAAAAGAUAAGCAAAAACUCAUGGUUUUAAGGGUUUACUAAAUCUUUAAUAUCUCAGCCCCGUUAUAAUAUUUUUUCGAUCUGUUUUCACAAAAAUAUUCCUUAUAAAAAAUACUUUUGGAAUAGUGGUUGACAAUGCGCGAGAAAAAAUUUAGGGAGGUUAGCCCAUGAAAGCAUCCAAGCUAGAUUACUUUUGAGCAAAUGUUUACUCGAUAUCGUAGACAACCUUAUGUAGAACAGUCACGGUGGACGUUUCAGAUUGGUGAGCAUGUUUAUUAACAUGAAAAGGCAGGUUUUCCAAACACUCAUCACGAAUAUGAUGAUCGAUAAUACAUUCUUGGCAUUUCAGAAGAAAUGAGGUCAGACUGAUGGGUCUAAAUCUAUUUGCUUCCUCAUACGAGAUAAUAUUAUGGUCUCUUUUUUAGGAUAUACUUCAAAGUAACAUCCCGCCAAGAUUUGAGGAUCCUCUUCCAACUGGAACUUGGCGUGCUUUUUAACUUAGUAUUCCAUUAGCAUUUCCUCAGUAAUUAAUUGAAAGUUUUUCUAUGCCCGCUAUUGUAAGAAUAUGCACAAGAAUACAUUAUGCCCAGAGGCCCAGAAUAUUGAGAAUGUUUCUCACCCAAGAACAGCCCAGACCGGACCGAGAGUUGAACUAGCCAUCUCCGGAUUGGUAAUCCUACCCCUUGGUUCGCAAGGCUAAUUGGACCUGGACACACAGUAGCAAAACUACAUAAACAUGUUGGAUAUAUUGCUGUUCCAGAGAAAACUUUACUGUUUCCGGUUCAAUUUUCAAACUACCGCAGCUGUCACUUCAUACUUUUUCUCUACUGUUGGCCAUGGCAUCCUACGAUGACAACCCCAAAUAUCAAGUUUUUAUUUCAUUGUAUUGAAGACUCUCAGGCUUGCGGUAGAACUUUGACAGCUACGGAAGAACUUUACGGAAUCCGCAAAAUGGAAAAUUUGGAAUACUCAAAUACUCAAAAACUCUCUGAAGCAGAACGGGACAUAUACCAUCUUCCGCUGGAGAUUUGUAAGGAGCAAUACUGUUUUAGUUGAAAUGAUUCAGUAGUUAUAAUUCUAUGCGCAUGGGUCCAUGACCCAUAAUUACAUGACAUCAGGCUUGUCUUGUAGUCGUCCGUUAGUGAAAUUCGGCUUCGACGCGUGUUGCACACCAUCGAAGAGUUUUGAGUACAGGAAUAAUGUACAGGUAUUUAUCGAAUUCAAUAUUCGCACUAGGCGGUAAAUGCGGAUAUUCGUGAUAUCGGAGAAGAACUUACCGUCGAUUAGUCGUCGAUUUGGUUUUCCGUUUCUUGGGUAGGUGAUCACGAUAUGGUCUUGUAAUUAUUAUUACGGGGGCAGUGCCGUAAUCAUUCAAUACAGUAUGUAUGACGGUGACGGUGACGAUUUUUACGUCCCGCCGUUGGCUUCCAUCAUAUGUGGGCUCAAGCUGUGCAUAGAACGCUUCUUCAUCGACGUCAGGUCACCUUUCGUGUAGGCAGUGCACUUUGAUGGUAUUGUAGUGAAGGAAACGGUCGUUUAUCCUCAGUUUACACAUCCUUGCUCUAAUGGAAUGCCACCAGGGCCGCAAUUAGCCGAAAGGGGGCCCCUAUGGACCUGAUUCCCAGGUCGUUGGUGGCCACAGCUUUGGUAGAAGGUAGCCACUCAAUGCCCGCCAUUCCACACUUUCUAUCCUGGUCAGCAAAUCUCUUGCAGUGCCACGGCAUCGACGUUAAGAGGAUAUAAUUCAUUAUCCUAGUCCAUGGUUGACUGCUACAAGUGGAAUCGUCGCUAUUUAAUGUCCAUUUUCGCCUCAAACUAUUUUUAAAAUUUAUAACAAACAAUUGAAACCAGUCCAACAUCAGGCCGGUUCACACGUGCAGCACUUUUAAUUUUUUUGUUUUUGAUUUUUUAAAUAGUAAGAGGAUUCAAAAAAUAUUGGCAUGAAGAAUUAACCUGAUGUUAGUUCAACUUACUUGAUACUUGAUGGGGUACAGCUCCUCCUCGAUGAGUCUAUGCCGAAUGGAGUUUCCUUCUCCACUGGACUCGAUUCUGAGCCAGUCGCUUCCAGUCGCCCUUAAUGUUCAACGUACUCAAGUUCUCUUCAACUGAAAAAAACAUCGUGUGCGCGGCCAACCACAUACGGCAUACGAGGUAGGUAACCAGACUAAAGCCGGAGUGGCCUGUGCAAUACAUAAAGGUCUUCUCCGUUCAGCUAGGUCCAUGGCUGCACGUCGCCAACCAUGCAGUCUGCUGAGGGUCCGCAAAUCGUCCUCCACCUGAUCUAUCCACCUUGCCCGCUGUGCACCUCGCCUUCUUGUUCCCAUCGGAUCGUUGUCGAGAACCAUUUUUACCGGAUUACUUUUCGACAUUAUGGUUACGUGCCCGGCCUUCCGAAGUCCUCCGAUUUUCGCGGUGUGAACGAUGGAUGGUUCUCCCAACAGCUGAUGCAACUCGUGGUUCAUUCGCCUCAUCCACGUACCGUCCGCCAUCUGAAUCUCACGUAGAUGGUACGCAGCACUUUCCUUUCGAAAACUCCCAGUCACGAGCAUCGUUCGAGCAUGUCGCGUAUCCGUAGAGAACUACCGGUCUAAUAAAAGUUUUGCAGAUAGUCAGUUUGGUACGGCGGCCAACUCUAUUCGAUCGGAAGGUUUUGCGGAGUCCAAAGUAUGUACGAUUUCCUGCCAUGAUGCGUCUCCGAAUUUCUCUGCUGGUAUCGUUAUCGGAGGUCACCAGUGAUCCCAAGUACACGAAUUUUUCAACCACCUCGAUUUCGUCACCACCAAUACAAACUCGUGGUGGGUGGCUCACAUUGUCCUCUCUUGAGCCUCUUACUAUCAUGUACUUACUUCGUCUUAGACGUGUUGAUGACUAGUCCAAUCCGUUUAGCUUCGCUUUUCAAUCUGAUGUAUGCUUCCUCCAUCCUCUCAAAGUUACCGGCAUACGAGCAACGUGUCUAAUCCACCGUAGUAUGCCGUGUUGUAUAAGCUUAACAAUAUGCAUUCCUUUAUACCAGGUAUAUAGAGGAAUGGAAAAAUCUGCUUGUUAUUCUCCGACGAAGGACUCUUCAAGCUAUUGAACAGAAUACGGGAUAAAGUUUUGUCCGCCGAAUUAAAGAGGGUAAUUCCUCGGUAAUAGGAGUGGGCUAUUGAGGCCAAUUAGCCUGCUGUUGCUUCCAAAUCGCGCGAAUAUAAGGCCAUACUUGAAAAACAACACCUUUCCUUUUGUUUUAAAUUUUAAAAAUAGCUAGAGGUGUCAACAAAUGCGGUUUUUUUGGAAAGUUGACCUUAAAUAAAUUAUAGAAUCGAUUGAGCGAAUAAUGUUGGUAAAGGGAAAGGUCAAAUUGCAACAAGAUAUCAAUUUCAUUCAAAGAAAGUCGCAUACCAGUACAAUCGAUGCUAAUUGCUCUUAACACAAUAUUCAGGAAUUCGAUGGAAAAUUAUUAAAAAUUAAACGAAUCACAUAAGCUAUCUGACAGAUUCGUCUAGUUACACAAUGCCAAAUUGAAGGAAACAUUAUGUUUGGGCCCUCGGGCCUUCGGAAGUAACAUCGCGUGAGCACUAAUAAUAUAUGUCAAUUAUUGACAAUAAGUAGAUCAUUAUUAUACAUACUUAUCAUUAUAUUGAACAAAAUCCAGGACCAUCGAAGCCCCAGAAACGUUAUGGUUUUAUAGAAGUUUUACAAGGCAGUUCGCGGUCACCUAAAUCAUCAUAAAACCAUAAAUCGACAUUGUUGUUUCAAAAGGGCGAAAGUCGCAAACGUAAACAUUGACUUCUUCUGCUGAUUUCAGGAAGAUUAGAGACUUCUAGGGGUAUAUUCCACUUCCGCUCAAUAGAAGGCGCGGAGCGCCACCAGUUCCAAGUGGUUGUUAGCUGGGUGCGGUUCUAGUUUUUGAGGAAUUUGCAGGAAAAGGCAUUGUUUACGUUUGCGACAUUGGCCCUUAUGAAACAACAGUGUCGAAAUGCUAGUUGGGAAUUGCGAUUCGCAUGGUAAUUGAAAAAAGAGAUAUAUUAUGUGGAACGAGAUGAAACUGAUCAAAAACAAUGACAAUACAUUCUCCUGGCUUGUAAGGUAAUUAUUACAUCAGAAAAAUUAAAACAAAUCAAAUUAAAAUUGGUUAGUCUACUAUAAAUUAAUAACACGAAUUAAGGCAACAUUUGACAAUAAUAACAAUACAUAAUGUAUUGCACAAAACUGAAACAAACGAACAAUAAAUAGUAAAAGACAUUGUACCGAACAACUGUGACAAUAAAGUAAAACUGUACAAUAGUAGUAAAGGCUAUAAAAAUCAACCAGUUUCUUUUAAAUAUAACUUUAAUCGUGAUCAUUUUUAGACAGCGAAAUUGUGUAAAUUCAAAGAACAACUAUUGUACAAUAGAUAUACAACAAAGAAGAACACUCAAAAUGAAUUUGUGACCACACAGUUUUAUUCUACAUAACUCCGAUACCCCUUCCUGAUGAAAACGGAUCUUAAGGAUAAAGUUGCAAAAGUAUUUAAUAUUGUAUGGCGACCACAUGAAGCUGCCUGCACUCUAUCUCAUAAUUUCAGGCACAUGUUCAUACACAUAGGUACAUAGCGAAUUGACCAUGCAACUCAUUGCCUUGCUUAUUCGCGGCAUACAUUGAGAAAUAUUCACAGUCCAUUGCAUUGACCAAAUCGCUAAAACCUAAAGUGUAAUCACAAUAUGUUAAACUAUGUACAGGUACACCGUGAUUCUUCAGACUAUUUUUUUUUCUAUUAUGUUGAAACUACUUUUCCAUUAACCCAUUGUUUAUUCGAGAAAAAAAAAUUAAAACAAAACUAUACACAGUUAUCAAGCCCAUAUCCUCUUUAAAAAUCCUUAUUCCUAUUCCAUAUUACUACAUGCAUUCGUAAACCCGAUAUUGCAUAAAAUGGAUUGAGCACUAACACACGUACCAUUUUGCACCUUAGCCUGAUGGAAGUAUCCCUAAACACCGCAUGUUACACUUAAGACAAUAACUAAAUCUAAGCACUGAUAUUCAAAACGGUCACUUCAUUGAACAGAAAAAAAAACUGCAAAGUAAAACGAAAUUUAUUAAACGGAUAAUAAACGUAUUGUAUAAUCCACCGCAA